AAUUAGGAUAAUAACACUUACAAGGCUAUUGAGAAAUGAGUUAAAUUAUGCACAGUAGUGCCUGGCAUUAGGAAGAGCUCAGUCCAUGUUACCUUCACGGUGUUGUUACUCACAGAGUUUUUGACGUUGAGAACUAUGUGAGUUUUUAGGCCAGGUUUUUCUUUUUUUUUAAGUGAAGAGAACUGUGAGACUGAGGCUCAGGAAGGCUAAAUGCCUCCCUCACAGUCACACAGCUGCAUGGGACGAGCCAGUACAACUAUCUAGGUCUCCAGACUCACAGCCCAGUGUCUUUCUAGUGCCUCUGCUGCUGACUUUCUUGCAGAGGAGAAUACAUGCAAGGAAUGAAGCAGAAAGGUCAAGCCUUUAUUAUUGCCCUGAAGUUGUGUAGCUCAAGACAGCGGUGCUUGUGGUUGGCUCUUUAGCUUGGUUGAUCUUGAGCUAAAAGGAGCAUGUCCUCUGGCAGUUUUUGGUGGUGGACUUCAGGGACCAGGCUAGCUGGCUUGAGAUUCUCCCUCCAAGUGUCCAUCCUGAGCAGGCCUUUCCUAACUGCACAUCCCUGCUGAUUUUCAAGGACGAGUGAGCAGACAUCUUCCUGGCACUGGCUCUCUGGGAAAAGCCCUGGGGUUGCCUGGAAACAGAGCCACGUUCUCAUGGAGGACCCCAUCCAGGGCUUCAGACUCACAGCUCCUGAUGCCUCUUUCUCCACCAGCCUCCACCUCAACUUCACUUUAGCAGCUGCUCUCAGCAACUACUAGCCCUUGUCAUCAACUGGAGUUGCUCCAUGUUUGAAAUCCUGAACUCUGAAAUCCUCCUUUCUGACCACAACCUCUGAUCCUUCUAUCAGUCUGCACUCUUUCAUGCCCUUGAAAUAUGUUCUUUGGUCUCAUUGGGACUCUUGGUCUCUUGACCUCUCCUUAUGUUAGCAGUGGCUCACCCCCUCCUAACUCCGUCCCUAGUCCUGCCUUGUUCGCACAGCCAUUUCUGCUGUACUGUCACAGGCAUUCAGUUCUCUCAUUCCUUUGACUUUUUGUUUUAUCUUUCAUUCCAAUCUCUGGCUAAUAAUUUCUCUCUCCCUCCCCUCCUUCUUCCCCUUCUCCCCAUUUACCUUUUUCUUUUUCUCCUCUCUCUCUCUCUCCAUUUCUUAUCUUGGAUUUCUAGGCACUAUGGAAGACACUUUCCCAACCAGCAUGAUCCACCUCAUUAAAAAAAAAAAAAAAAAUCCAUGAUUAUUGACCUUAUCUAGAUGGAGAAGCUGUUUAGUAAUCC
ensembl:lncRNA